ACUCCUACGGGAGGCAGCAGUGGGGAAUUUUGGACAAUGGGCGAAAGCCUGAUCCAGCAAUGCCGCGUGAGUGAAGAAGGCCUUCGGGUUGUAAAGCUCUUUUGUCAGGGAAGAAACGGUGAAAGCUAAUAUCUUUUGCUAAUGACGGUACCUGAAGAAUAAGCACCGGCUAACUACGUGCCAGCAGCCGCGGUAAUACGUAGGGUGCAAGCGUUAAUCGGAAUUACUGGGCGUAAAGCGUGCGCAGGCGGUUUUGUAAGUCUGAUGUGAAAUCCCCGGGCUCAACCUGGGAAUUGCAUUGGAGACUGCAAGGCUAGAAUCUGGCAGAGGGGGGUAGAAUUCCACGUGUAGCAGUGAAAUGCGUAGAUAUGUGGAGGAACACCGAUGGCGAAGGCAGCCCCCUGGGUCAAGAUUGACGCUCAUGCACGAAAGCGUGGGGAGCAAACAGGAUUAGAAACCCGAGUAGUCCCAUGA
rnacentral:rRNA from 1 species